GACGAACGCUGGCGGCGUGCUUAACACAUGCAAGUCGAACGGAAAGGCCCUGCUUUUGUGGGGUGCUCGAGUGGCGAACGGGUGAGUAACACGUGUGUAACCUGCCCUUGACUUUGGGAUAACUUCAGGAAACUGGGGCUAAUACCGGAUAGGAGCUCCUGCUGCAUGGUGGGGGUUGGAAAGUUUCGGCGGUCGGGGAUGGACUCGCGGCUUAUCAGCUUGUUGGUGGGGUAGUGGCUUACCAAGGCUUUGACGGGUAGCCGGCCUGAGAGGGUGAACGGCCACAUUGGGACUGAGAGACGGCCCAGACUCCUACGGGGGACAGCGGUGGGGAAUAUUGCACAGUGAGCGGAAGCCUGAUGCAGCAACGCCGCGUGCGGGAUGACGGCCUUCGGGUUGUAAACCGCUUUCGCCUGUGACGAAGCGUGAGUGACGGUAAUGGGUAAAGAAGCACCGGCUAACUACGUG
rnacentral:rRNA from 1 species